CAAAACUGAAAAGGCAUGAAAUGAGAUUUGUUACCUGUUCUGUUAGUAAAAUUGAAACGUUUCUGUAUUUUCUGUCGAUUUUAGUUCCAAGCAUCAUAAAACGAAGGAUGAAAAUUCCAAGAGCACAACUCCAGCAAAGAGCCUCAACAGUGUAUUGUGAAUGACGUGCUUUCCAGGUUGUAUUACGUGAUUGCUGAUAGAUAAAAAUAAAUACAGAUGACAUUAUUGGAAAGCUAUCAAACAAUGAAAUCUCCAGAGAUAAGACUUAACACCUCUGAUAACUGACCUGAAUAGGCAUUAUGGUGCUGGGCUCUUGGAUAACAACGUUCUUAGCAAAUCUAACUGACAAGGGCAUGUCUGCGCCAACUGAACCUCCCUUCUCAGAUGCCGUGUAUUGCUCACAUGGAUUGAGGUGUGUCCUUUUCUUGCUAACAUGGCAUCUUUUACGCUUUGAUCGACGAGGUUUUGUAGUAUCUUCUCUGUUUCGUCCCGAUACUCGACCCGAGCUUGUGGAAACAAUUUGUGAGUGCACCAUACAUAAUACCAGCAUCAUGCCAGCUGGUAUAAGAACCUCAAAGGCAGAUACGAUCUUGAAAUAAGUGAGUAUAUUUAAUAAUCACAACCUAAAAUCCCAAUGGUUUGCAACAAGCGUUUGAGCGAAAUCACUGUACCUCAGGCUCACUAUUGUUCUUCAUCGAAUAACAACAGUAGACUACGACGUUGAAUAUUUGCAAGCAGUAAAGCAGCAAGAAAAGCGCAAAUAUUCUGGGACUCGUCUGUUGGACCCACCAGGUUCUAUGCAUAGGAAGUAACAACAGUCUUCGUACAGCCAAGUAAGCAACAGUACAUAAUCCAUGUUCAGGCUUUGCUUUUGGGAAUGACGAACCUACAAACAAAAAAAAGAAAAUACAAUUUGUUCUCAUAAGUAUAGACCAAAUCCUAUACAAGUUACAGACCCAUUUUAUAUUGAGAAGCCAAAAUAACUUGAAUUGAAAAUUAGUGAAACG
rnacentral:misc_RNA from 1 species